UAGGGAAUCUUCGGCAAUGGACGAAAGUCUGACCGAGCAACGCCGCGUGAGUGAAGAAGGUUUCCGGAUCGUAAAACUCUGUUGGUAGAGAAGAACGUUGGUGAGAGUGGAAAGCUCAUCAAGUGACGGUAACUACCCAGAAAGGGACGGCUAACUACGUGCCAG
rnacentral:rRNA from 1 species